rnacentral:rRNA from 1 species
UACGUAGGGGGCAAGCGUUGUCUGGAAUCAUUGGGCGUAAAGAGCGUGUAGGCGGCUUGGUAAGUCCGCUGUGAAAGUCCAGGGCUCAACCCUGGAAUGCCGGUGGAAACUGUCAAGCUUGAGUCCGGAAGAGGCGAGUGGAAUUCCUGGUGUAGCGGUGAAAUGCGCAGAUAUCAGGAGGAACACCAAUGGCGAAGGCGGCCUGCUGGACCGGCACUGACGCUGAGACGCGAAAGCGUGGGUAGCAAACAGG